rnacentral:rRNA from 1 species
GUCGAGCGCGGGAAGCAGGCAGAUCCUCUUCGGAGGUGACGCUUGUGGAACGAGCGGCGGACGGGUGAGUAACACGUGGGCAACCUGCCUGUAAGAUUGGGAUAACCCCGGGAAACCGGGGCUAAUACCGGAUAAUACUUUUCGUUGCAUAACGAGAAGUUGAAAGGCGGCUUUUAGCUGUCACUUACAGAUGGGCCCGCGGCGCAUUAGCUAGUUGGUAAGGUAACGGCUUACCAAGGCGACGAUGCGUAGCCGACCUGAGAGGGUGAUCGGCCACACUGGGACUGAGACACGGCCCAGACUCCUACGGGAGGCAGCAGUAGGGAAUCUUCCGCAAUGGACGAAAGUCUGACGGAGCAACGCCGCGUGAGUGAUGAAGGUUUUCGGAUCGUAAAACUCUGUUGUCAGGGAAGAACAAGUGCCGUUCAAAUAGGGCGGCACCUUGACGGUACCUGACCAGAAAGCCCCGGCUAACUACGUGCCAGCAGCCGCGGUAAUACGUAGGGGGCAAGCGUUGUCCGGAAUUAUUGGGCGUAAAGCGCGCGCAGGCGGUCCUUUAAGUCUGAUGUGAAAGCCCACGGCUUAACCGUGGAGGGCCAUUGGAAACUGGAGGACUUGAGUACAGAAGAGGAGAGUGGAAUUCCACGUGUAGCGGUGAAAUGCGUAGAGAUGUGGAGGAACACCAGUGGCGAAGGCGACUCUCUGGUCUGUAACUGACGCUGAGGUGCGAAAGCGUGGGGAGCGAACAGGAUUAGAUACCCUGGUAGUCCACGCCGUAAACGAUGAGUGCUAGGUGUUAGGGGGUUUCCGCCCCUUAGUGCUGAAGUUAACGCAUUAAGCACUCCGCCUGGGGAGUACGGCCGCAAGGCUGAAACUCAAAAGAAUUGACGGGGGCCCGCACAAGCGGUGGAGCAUGUGGUUAAUUCGAAGCACGCGAAAACCUUACC